GUCGUGUGUGUGUGUGUGCGUGGAAUGCUCUGGAGAAGAACAAAGGGGUGUAAACCCUAGUUCUUAAAGAAGCUCCAAAUUGAAGGUUGAAACGAGGCUCAAAAUCAUGAAUAAACACGGAUUAAUGCUCACCAUCACAAGAGGAUCAAAAGGAUAGGAAUCACAUUGGCAUGGACUCAAGAACGGAAGGUUAACGGGUCAAGCGGAGGCGAGGAAUCAAGCAUGAACACUAACGCUUAAGGUAAGUGACUUCCGACUUACUCCUUAGUAUACAUAUAGAAUUUUCUUGUCUAUGGAUGAGGGGAAAUUAUGUAUGGGAAUGUAAUGAAUGAAGGUAUUAAUAUAAGUAUUGAACUAGUUCGUCGAAGAUAGUUAUCCAAGUAGAAGAAAAUUUGGUAUGAUUAAACGGGUCGAAUAAAUAAGUAUAAGUAAGGUAACGGCAAUGAAAUCCGUAAAUGAUCAAGGACUCGGGGUAAGAAUUCUUAGUCUAAUAUGUAAGAAUUGUUUUACGGACAUUUAGGAACAAGUUUCAAGUGAUUCGGACGCGAGAUGAACAAGUUAUGAGGUUUUUGUCAACAAAAUGGAAGGCUGAGCUGGGGACUACCGUAACUUACGGUAGCCACCGUAAGUUACGGUAGAUGCUGGGUCUUUGUUUUCUGCCGUAAGGCAGUAGGGAGGCACCGUAAGCCUUUUGGAGCCACCGUAAGCUACGGUAGCCACCGUAGCUUACGGUGGAGGUCAGAUGUAGAAUGUAGAAUUUGCAUAAUUCAUUGUUUUUCUUCAAAUUUGGACCCCGUGAACCCACUCCAAGUCUCGAUAAGUUUUUAUAAUGUUCCUCAACACUACCAAAUGGCUUGGUAAGUUACGGGUGAGUAUGAAACUCAUUUUUAAGAUCCGAAACAUACCCGAAAGAUACUUUUAAACGCGUUUAUGAUUCGUAGGUAAGGACGGGGUAUGUGAGCGGGUAUGCGGGGUAAUGAAUUAAGUAUGCGGGUGUGUAUGUAUGUAUAGAUUUUCACUUCGUUCCAAUGGCUCAGCUCAUAAGUAAUUACGAGUAGGAGUUAGUAUGUAUAUGAGUUUGUUUGUACAUGUAUUGUUACAUGGAGGUUUGUAAUUAGGAUAGGUCGGUGAGUCAUAAGGAAUUAUGUAUGUGGUAUGUAAGAGUUAGUAUGUAUGUAUGAAUGUAUUUAUGUAUUAUAUAAGUGUGUAUGUAUGUACGUAUGAUGUGUGUAUGUAUUAAGUGACCAAAAGUACAUAUAUGGAUGUGUGUAGGCACGAAGUAGUAUUGAUUGUGUACGAAGGAAUUGGACUUGUAUAUAUGUAUACAAAGCUUCAGUGUGUUGGGUACUAAGUUACUGAUCAUGUAUCUUGAGAAUGAAAUGAGAAUUGCAGGUAUGCUAUGGAAGUCCAUUGUGAAGUUUGAGGAAAUUGGGAAAUAAGAUUGUACUCGGAAGGAUGAUCGAAAAGUCUUGCACGAAUAGAAAGAUUGCGGCAUGGUCAAUUAAUUAUGAAUGAUAGAUUAUGAAUGUAGAUUGUCAAACUUUAAUGAUGUACAUGUUUGUGGUGAAUGUAGGUUACGCGGACCAACAUCGGUAUAAAGUAUUAGAGGAUUGAAGAUCGAGUCAAGGGCAAGAAUUGUACGGGAAUAGUAGUCACAUAUUUGAGAAUCGUAUAUGUAAUUGAUGUGAUAAGUAAGAAUGAACGUUGUAAACCUUUUAUUGAAGUGUGGGUUACUCUAGAAACAAACUUACAAAUGAGUUAUAUAAGUAAUAUAGAAAGAAAUUUUA
rnacentral:lncRNA from 1 species